UACGGAGGGUGCAAGCGUUAAUCGGAAUUACUGGGCGUAAAGCGUACGUAGGCGGCUUGUUAAGCAAGAUGUGAAAUCCCCGGGCUCAACCUGGGAAUGGCAUUUUGAACUGGCAGGCUCGAGUUCUGAAGAGGGUGGUAGAAUUUCCAGUGUAGCGGUGAAAUGCGUAGAUAUUGGAAGGAAUACCGGUGGCGAAGGCGGCCACCUGGUCAGAAACUGACGCUGGGGUACGAAAGCGUGGGGAGCAAACAGG
rnacentral:rRNA from 1 species